rnacentral:rRNA from 1 species
AGUGAACGCUGGCGGCAUGCCUAACACAUGCAAGUCGAACGGUAGCACAAGAUACCUUGCUCUCUGUGUGGCGAGUGGCGGACGGGUGAGGAAUGCAGCGGAAUCUGCGCAUUUUUGGGGGAUAACCUCGGGAAACCGGGUCUAAUACCGCAGACGACCUACGUGUGAAAGCUGGUGAUCUUCGGACCGUUCUCAGAUGGAUGAGGCGUUGCCGGGUUAGCUAGUUGGUGGGGUAUAGGCCCACCACGUCGACGAUCCGUAGCAGGUCGGAGAGGAUGAUGAGCCACACUGGGACUGAGACACGGCCCAGACUCCUACGAGAGGCAGCAGUGGGGAAGAUUGGAGAAUGAGCGCAAGAAUGAUCCAGCAAUGCCGCGUGUGUGAAGAAGGACUUCGGGUUGUAGAGCACUUUUGUUGGGAAAGAAGAGCAGCCGGUUAAUACGUGGUUGUCAUGACGGUACCCAAAGAAUAAACACCGGCUAACUUCGUG